AUGGAGGCAGUUGCCUUCCCCAAGCUUGAAUACCUCGUCAUCAAAGAUAUGCCCAACUGGAGCGAGUGGUCCUUUGUUGAAGAAGAAGAAGAAGAAGAAGAAGAAGCAAUGGCAGCAGCUACAGAAGGGGGAGUGACUGCGACGUCUCCCCCGAUGCAGCUGUUGCCAUGCCUGAAGAGGUUGGAGCUUCUUGGCUGCCCCAAGCUGAGAGCUCUCCCACGACAGCUUGGACCGGAGGUCACCAACCUGAAAGAGCUUUUUAUUAUUGGCGCAAGCUUCUUGAAGGCAGUGGAGGACCUCCCUUUCGUGGAGAGUGUCUUGAUCUCGGGAUGUCAAGUCCUGGAGAGGGUCUCGAACCUUCCUCGGUUGAGGGAGCUAUGUAUAAAUGAUUUCCCAGAAUUGUGGCAUGUUGACGGGCUGGCAAGCUUGCAGCAGCUGUGGUUGACAGAGAAUACGCUGGAGAUCUCUUCUUUACUAUGGGUGCCAGGGCUGCAACAAUAG
rnacentral:rRNA from 1 species